CCUACGGGUGGCAGCAGUGAGGAAUAUUGGUCAAUGGACGCAAGUCUGAACCAGCCAUGCCGCGUGCAGGAAGACGGCCCUAUGAGUUGUAAACUGCUUUUGUACGAGGGUAAACGCAGAUACGCGUAUCUGUCUGAAAGUAUCGUAUGAAUAAGGAUCGGCUAACUCCGUGCCAGGAGCCGCGGUAAUACGGAGGAUUCGAGCGUUAUCCGGAUUUAUUGGGUUUAAAGGGUGCGUAGGCGGGCGGAUAAGUUAGUGGUGAAAUUCCGAGGCUCAACUUCGGAAUUGCAUCGGAUACUGUUCGGCUAGAGAGUAGUUGCGGUAGGCGGAAUGUAUGGUGUAGCGGUGAAAUGCUUAGAUAUCAUACAGAACACCGAUUGCGAAGGCAGCUUACCAAGCUACUUCUGACGUUGAGGCACGAAAGCGUGGGGAGCAAACAGGAUUAGAUACCCCUGUAGUC
rnacentral:rRNA from 1 species